ACAUCCUGUUGUGUAAUCUGAACCAAGUGAAGAGAUCGACCGAAGCUUACAAACACUACAGAAAUGGUUGUGACGGUUUUUGUUAAAACUCUACAUGGUCGGGACAUGGAGAUCCACCUUUGCGAAACUGAGGAGCAGUUGAAGAGCAUCACAGUGUUGCAGCUGUUGGAGAAGAUAGAAGAGAGUUGUUCUUAUGAGCCUAUAGGUGUGCGACUGGUCUUCAAAGGCAAGCUACUGACCCCCUCCGCUCAGCUUUCUGAAUUUGGAAUCAAAGACAAGUCAACCAUUCAUAUGAUUCUAGAAUUGGAAGGAGGAGGUAACGGCCCAAGGAUGGCAAAUGAUGGAAUGGGUGACAAGGAAGGCAAAAACGAAAGUAUGGAAAAACUAGCUAAUUUUAAAGAGGAAAAUGCUAAAUGUUUGAUAUUUUGAAAUACAUUAAGGAUUACAACUCUGCAGACUAGGUUUAACCACCUAAGCUUGCAUAAUCAAUACAUGUUAAACAGGAUUGUGUUCAGGUUAGGCUGAUUAUUAACAUCUAUUUAAAAUGUAAAAAAUAAAACAACACCUACAG